rnacentral:misc_RNA from 1 species
GAACGCAUAUUGCACUCUCUGGUAAUCCGGGGAGUAUGCCUGUUUGAGGGUCAGUAAAUAAUAAUUAUCAUAAUCUUUUGAUUGUGGAAUUGGGCUUUUAUUUCAUUUUAAUGAUUUAUGGCCUUAAAUUUAUGUUACCGCUUGUUUAAUAUGAAAUUCGACCGAAUGGAGCAAUUAAACAUUCUCUCGUUAGGCGGAUUCAUCAAGCAAUUACGAUUUUUUGGCCGUCGAAGCACUUUUUUUUUUAGAAGUGCUUGGUCGAGAUUGUAAGAUACAUUUUUAACAAUGACCUCAAAUCAGGCAAGAAUACCCGCUGAACUUAAG